GUACUUUUUUAGUAGUUUAUUCGAGUCUUUUGUUAUAUUACAUAUUAAAGGCCUUCACACAAUCAUCAACAUAAGAUAUAAUACGUAAACCGUCAGGAAAUCCACCAAUCAGAAUUGACUAUUUCCCUCUACAUUUUCUGACGCAAGACAUAAACCGUAACGUUGAAAAAUUUCGUGAAGAUCUUUGCAGUGGCAUCGACAUAAGACGUAAACCGUAAGUCGUAGUACGUAAACGGUAUCGUAUACGAUUGUCAUAAGUUAUAAACUUUGACCAAUUACAGUUAUCGUCGAAGAAAUUGCGCGAAAAUAUAAUUCUUAAGUGUGCUGCCUGGUACUAUUUUCAUUUUUGUAUUGUGUUUAUGUUUUAUUAAAGCAUAAAACACAAUGCUUUUGAUAAUUUCAAUCUCAAUUUAUGAAUACACAAUAUUAUAGUCCGUGUAUUAUUCAUAUUCAUAAAAUUUCAAAUGUAGAGUUUAAUUGCGGGAAAGUAUGUGAUUGAUUGAACAUAAGACGUAAAUUGUAAAAAGUUCAUCCUUACGAAAUACCUCUACAAUUUAUAUCUUGUCUUGAAAAAUGUAAAGAGGAAUAAUUGACUCUGAUUGGUGAAUUUCCUCACGGCUUACGUUUUACAUUGGUACGUGUGUGAAAGGCCUUAAGGUCCUUAACAGCAAAUUCCAUCGAAGAAACGCUGAAUAAUAUAGAAAAAAAAAUAAAAUAAAAGAUGUGUGAAUAUUACACAUGAAUAAAGAAUGCUGUUAAUAAAAUACAUUAAUAAAUAUUCAAUUACAACAAUUAUUAAAUGGAAUACGAUUUCGAUGAACAAAGAUUCAUUUUAAAGAUAAAGGUUUAAACAAAGAGAUGAUCUUUUCUAAUUUUUGAAAAAGUUUUUUUUAUAAAAAAGAAAAAAAAUAGUGUCAAAUGAUGAUAUUUCUUUUCGACAAUAACUUUCUUUUCAAUUUCAAAGGGCAUAAAUUUUGAAAUCGGUGUUAUUACAUCAUAAAGUCAAUAAAAUUGGUUUUUUGAUUGAUUUUGAUAGUUCAAUAUUUCAAUGUACUCACAUGGCUGUUUCAUUCGGGAUACACGA